rnacentral:lncRNA from 1 species
UCAAUAAUAAUAGUUGACCAAUUAAGCGACUGCUUCGGUCGCAAAAUAAAAAUUAAAAUGGUAAAAGAAUAUUUUAGAGGUUUUUGUGACCGCGAUUGUAUUUUAAUGGUGAGAAAGGUAAAUCUAAUAUUUUAGGCCAAAACCCUAUUUCGGCCAUAUUUCCCCAAUUUCCUCUAUCUCUAUCUCUUUAUCAAUAUUUGUUUUUUCUUCUGCAAUUUCUCUUCCAUUCAACCAUUAUUGUUGUUGACGGAGGCAAACGGCGGAUGGCAAUUUUCGGCUAACGGCAUAAAUUUUAAGCCUAUUCUUCGACUCUUGAAGACCAAUUCCGCUCCAAUUUCUCUUCCACUCCUCUUUUCGGUUUGUUUCUGUCUCUGUCUCACUUUUUAUUUCCUAGAUAUUUUUUAUUUUAAGCAUUAUCCUAAACUGAAAAAGACAUCUUAUAGAUGAAAGGAGAACGAAUUUCCUCAUGCAGUAGUGAAAAUUUAUCCUUUUAAUAGCUCAAAUAACAAAAUAGGUUUCAAUAGCUUGAGAGAUCCGGAAUUUGUUCGUUUCUAUAGCUAUAUUUUUCAACACCUAUAAAGAAAAGUAAAUAUUAUACAUAUACUCCUUUGGUCUAAAGGUUUUGGCGUGAUAGCAGACCUUGAAAUUCGAACGGAGGAAUUGCACACUUUCUCUUUAAGAAACUGAAAACCAAAUUAAACCUCGUUAGUGUAAAUGUUUUGCUUAUAUUUCCGUUCAGUUCUGUUAAGAGGAGGCUUUGAACUUUUAUACAUUUUAAUUGAAAGGAUGAGGAAUUGUGGGGAAUUAAGGGGUUGAAUAUGGGAAAGGGAUCAAUUAUGGGGAAGUUGUAAUAAAUAUUUGCAUUGAUAUUCAGAGAGAUUUUUCUGAGAGCCUUAAAAGCAAUGAACUAGUUGAUCAACUAAGAAAAUUGUGAUGUAAUUUGCCUCUUUAACUUUGAGGUAGAGCCAAUAACUAAUCUACAGAAGAAUUGUAGACCGCAAACCUAGAUUAGAGUUUAUUGGUUUGAGACUUAAGAUUAAAAUUUUUUAACUCUGGUUCUUUUUCACUGCAAUAAUUUGAAUAGUUCUUUCUCAAUCUUGCUUCACUUAUCUAUUUGUUUGUUUAUUCUUUUUGGAUGGGCUGACAAAUUUUUUGAAUAUUCUAGGAUGGCCACAAAAUAUAUUUUUGCCAUUGAAAGAAUCAAGUUUUUUAUAGCAAACUGUUUGGCAUAAUACUAAGUAAUAUAUAUUGUUUUAAAAAUCUUGGAUUUAUUUCGUGUAGAUGGAGCUUUCACAUCGUAGAUGGAUAUAUAGUCUGACUUAUCCUAAUCAUAGUGGGUCGAGGGAGGAAUUUAUAGAAGGGGUUGCUGAAUUUAUGGCUAAAGCGAAAACACUUCAUAAAUUUCUCAGUGAAGGGGUGCUUAGGUGCCAUUGUGUGAACUGCAAGUGUGAAAAGUUAUUGCAACCAGAUAUUGUUAAAAUUCAUCUUUAUAAAAAAGGGUUUAUGAAAAAUUAUUACGUGUGGACUAUUCAUGGAGAGGAUGGUGCUAGUGUUGGUGAUGUCGAUUUUCAAAAUUGUUUUGGUAGUGAGGGUAGUCCUUUAGCACAGAAUAAUGAUGAAAAUUCUAGAUUCAAUGAAAUGGUUAGGGAUGCUUUUGUGAUGCACCUGGGGGCUCAGUCUGAACCAAAUGAUGAUGCUGAGCGCUUCUAUGAAUAGUUAUAGGAAGCUAGUCGUCCAUUGUAUAAUAGCUCAAUGCAUUCUUAGUUGUCUGUUGCGGUUCGAUUAUUAAGUAUUAAAUUGGAUUCGAGUAUUUUUAAAGCGGGCAUGGACUCUAUCAUUGGCCUUAUGAAUGAACUUAGUCCAAAUAAAAUUGACCUACCCAAAGAUUUCUACACAGGAAAGAAAUUGGUUUCUAAGCUAGGACUUUCAUCAGAGAGGAUUGAACUAUUGUGAGAAAGGUUGCAUGUUAUUCUAUAAGGAUGAUGCAGCUUUAGAAAAUUAUAAAUUUUGUAACCAACCUCGUUACAAGGAAGUCACAAAUUCCAAAAAAAGAAUAAGGUUCCAGGUGAUGCAUUACUUACCCCUUAUACCUAGGUUUAAGAGGUUGUAUGCAUCAAUGAGCUCUGCUCCUCAUAUGAGAUGACACUGUUAAAAUAGACGGCCACCUGGUAUUUUAUGUCAUCAAUCAGAUAGAGAAGCAUGGAAGCAUUUUGAUAAGGUAUUUUCGGAUUUUGCUAAUGAAACAAGAAACAUUAGCUUGGGUUUAUGUGCAGAUGGAUUCACUCCAUUUUUUAUCUAUGUUGCACCAUAUUCAUGUUGGCCGGUGGUUGUUACGCCGCAUAAUCUUCCUUCUGAGUUGUAUAUGACAAGUCCAUAAUUGUUCCUAACCUGUAUUAUUCGAGGUCUAGGCAAUCCGAAAAGUUCGAUUGAUGUAUACAUUCAACCUUUAAUGCAUGAGUUAAAGUCAUUGUGGCAUGAGGGUGUGGAAACAUAUGAUAUAUUAACUAAACAAAACUUCAGAUUGCGUGCUACUUUGAUGUGGGCUAUAAAUUAUUUUUCUGCUUAUUGAAUAUUGUCCGAGUGGUCGACUGCAGGAAAGUUAGUUUGCCCAACUUGUAUGGAAGACACAAAAGCAUUCAUAUUGAAACAUGGAAGAAAGAACACAUGAUUUGAUUGCCAUCGUCGAUUAUUGCAUAGGGAUCACGAGUUUAGGAGAAAUACUAGUGCCUUUAUGAAGAACCAAACUGAUUUUGAAUAGCCACCAUCAACAUUGUCGCCAAAAGAAAUUUGGAACAAAGUUAGGUUUCUACCUAAGAUAACAGAGUCUCCUAUAUCUUAUAAGAUACCUAGUUAUGGUGUUACGCAUAAUUGGACCAAAUAGAGCAUAUUCUGGAAGUUACCAUAUUGGAAGCAUAACAUUCUUUUGCAUAAUCUGGAUGUCAUGCAUAUCGAGAAAAACUUUUUUGACAACAUAUUUAAUACCGUAAUGGAUGUUAAUAACAAGACAAAAGAUAACUUGAAGGCUAGGAUGGACUUAAAGGAAUAUUGUAGGCGAAGUGAGUUGUACCUGACAUACUUGAACAACAAGAUUCAGAAGCCCAAGGCCAGUUACACAUUCACUUUGGAUGAGAGAAUAGAUAUUUGUGAUUGGGUUAAGAAUUUAAGUAUGCCUGAUGGAUAUGCGUCAAACUUAUCUAGGUUUGUUGACAUGAAAGAAGGGAAGUUGACGUCUAUGAAGAGCAAGCGAUUGUCACAUUUUCCUUGAAUCAUUGAUUCCUAUUGCAUUCAAAGCAUUGCAUGAUAGAAUAUGGAAACCCAUUACUGAGAUAAGUUUAUUUUUCAAGGAGUUGUGUUCCAGCACAUUGAAGGUGGAGAACUUAGCUUAAAUGGAGAGUAACAUUUGCUUAACUUUAAACAAGCUGGAAAAAAAAAAUUCUCUUGAUUUUUUUGAUGUAAUGGAACAUCUUCCAAUUCAUCUUGCGCAAGAGGCACGACUUGGAUGGCUCGUUCAGUGUAGAUGGAUGUAUCCUUACGAAAGGUAAUGAUUUUAAAUUAUUUUCCCUUGAUGUGUUUUAAUUAAACGUUAUUUCAUCUAAAAAUUGUGAUAUGCAGGACUAUUGGAAAAUAUAAGUAGACCAUGAAAAAUAGAUCCAGGAUUGAUGGAUCGAUAUGCAAGGCACAUCUAGCUAAAGAAAUUUUUUUUUACUGUUCAUAUUAUUUUUAACAUGAUGUGACAUGUUUUAGAAAUAGGCCAAAUCGACAUGAUGAUGGAGGUGUUACUUAUCCUUUUGCACCACCAUUUUUCAAAUUCAAUCUACCAGGUAGAGGUCCAAAAACUAGUAAAAAGCAAAAUUCGACAUAGAUGGAGAAAAAGUCCGCUACAACACAUGUCUUGUUGAAUUGUCCAUGUUACACCCAAUAUUUUCGUACGUGAGAGUACAUCAUAAGUCAAUUGAUGUAAGCUCAUAAAUGAGAUCAUCUUUGAAAGUACAUAAAGUAAGUUAAUAAAGUAAGUUAAUCAUGUUAUCUUGGAGGUUACAAAUCUUUAAGAUCUUGGAUAACAACUACCAAGUGGGUUGAAAGGCUUAGGAGCUAAGCAAAUUGAAGAAAAUAAGUUUCGUCGAAUGUCAACAAGUUAGGAAUGUUAUAACAUGUACUUUUGGGGUGAUACUAGGGUUCUUAACAUGAUAAGGAGGUUAUGUUAUGAGCUAUUUUAGUCGUAUGAUAGUCGUGUAUUACAUUUUGAAGUCAAGCGAGUUUUGGAACGAAAGUUGGCAAAAAGUCAUCACAAGUUACAUUCAUAAUGUGUUGAAUAUUAGGUCAAAUGCAGCAGAGUUUUUCUCCUAAUAUAUUUCGAAUUACAGGAUGACCCACAUAUCAAAUUGAAGAUCUACAAGUCUAUUUUCUAACUCAUUAAACCAUUUUUCGAUACAACAUUGGAGCAGAGAAAUAUUUGUAGUUUUGCGAGACUGCGCAGACUGCAUAGGUGACAAGUAGGUCGGUCACUAAAGCUUUUUGAGAAAUACCUUUCGUGUGUUAUGUGAGGUCUUUUUGGGACAUAUUAUAUACCAAAUUGAAGGUCUUGGAAUGUAGUUUCCAACUCUUUUAACCGUUCAUUCAUACUACAUACGAAUAAAAUGAUAUAAGUGUUGGAAGAAAGGCUAAUGCUAGGGUGCCAAGUAGCACCUUUUUGACUUUUCAACAAAUUGGAAAUUUAUAUCCCUUAUGUCGUCUCUUUCUUAAUAUUUCCAGAGAAAAUGACCAAAUAAGACCCAUAAACUUACCCUUAAGCUCUCUAUAAGGGUUUCAAAGAAGAUUAACAUCCCGGGUACGAAAUCAAAAGGCGAUGACAUUAGAACGAUCCCUACGACGUAAGUAUCUCUAUAUCGCCUCUCUGUUUCUUUGUAGUUUGAGUUUUGGAAGGUAUUUAAUAGUUAAUAAAAUACCUACUUUCUGUAUUUAAGAUUUUAAAUAUCAAGAAAGGUUGAUAAAUUCGUUUCCUAAUAGAUAGAACUCACGGGACGGUGAUCGAAAGCUGUGAGUUCGAGUUAUUCGACUUGUAGUGGACUGUUUUGUGGGAUGUUUCGUGUUGUUAUUGGGCUGUAUAUUUUGCUACUUUUUAAUGAAGUUUUUGAAGAGAAAUUGUGUGGAGAAACACCACAUAAUGGCGAAAUAGUGGAUUAGUCGCUCUUUGCAACUUUUUCGGGGUGUUUGACACUACUAUAGUUGUCGUCUUGGGAAUGAAGUGAUUGGGUGUGUUGGGCUGUUGUAUGCUAAAUAUAACAUGGAUUUCUACUUGAAUCCACGGUAGGUGGAAAUUAUAUUGUGUUCUUGCAUGUUCUUAAGGUUAUCUUGAUGUUAAUUAAGUUAAAUAGAUGGGCUAGGCAUGGACUAGUGAAUAAAGUUGCUAAUUGAGGUUAGUUAGAGUUAUGGAUUAUUUUAUUCAUAAUAUAUAUAUGGUAUAAGACUGGAAUCAUUGAUGAAUGACUUCAUUAUCAUGUUAAUGAUACUUCCUAAGUCAAAUUAAGAAGUCUAUAAGGGGUGAUAUGGGGUAUACAGGUUUCAAUCGGAGCUUGCCGCUCGUCGUGAAGUAGUUGGGACUUGUUAUUGUUAUAUGGUGUCUUGUUAUUGAUAAUUAUGUAUUGCUGGAUUGCUAUAGUAAUUGUUGUUGGUAUAUGGUAUUGGAGGAGUCUCUUGUUACAGGGGAGAUGCUGUCCAAAUUUACAUAAAUGAGUUACUAGUUUAAGUAACUGACUUAACCUUUACUCCGCACACUGAUUUUGAAUCUCCUUAUGCUAUGGUAGAUUGAGUUGAGUUGUUUGAAGAAUUGCUUGUAAGGUAUUAAGGACUCAAUAGAGCUAAGGUUUGUUAAGGCUAUCCCUUCUUUCCUUUUGGCUUGAUCCAUAUGAUGCAACGAAACGAGCAAGCACGCAACUUUCACAAAUGAUUCUAUUCUUAGAAGUACUAGGGGUGCCUAUGUUCUUGAUUCCCCAUGUGUCCUACUAUUCUAUCGUCUGUUCAUGGGUCUCAAAAAAUACGUAAGUUGAUAAAGUUUAUUUCAUGAUAUUUACCGAAGGCAUAUUGAUCUCAUGAUAUUCCGGGAGAUCUUAUUGACUUACUUUAUUAUGCAUUGCAUUCAUUUAUACAUGUAUAUUGACCCAUGAUCAGAUGGUGUUAUAUACGCCUAUAGUAUAUGUAUAUGGGGUAUGGGGAAAGGUUAUGGCGUUAUAUACACACCACCACCUGAUCAACUAGUCUACGUUAAUUAUUUCUCCCACAGAGGCCUAGAUGAUAUGAUGGGGUGCCCUCAGGGGUUAUGUACGUACAUACCUAUGCAUGAUGUGACAUUUAUAUGCAUAUGCAUGACUUUAUAAAUGUUUCAUGAUUCACAGAGCUAUUCAGACUUACAGGUUGAGUUAUUUACUCUGUGUUUCUUUCAUGUCUUUUAUAUACUGCUUUCAUGCCUUACAUACUUGGUACUUUAUUUGUACUGACGUAUCUUUUGCCUGGGGACACUGCGUUUCAUGCCUGCAGGUCCUGAUAGGCAGGUUUAGAGUCCUGCUAGUAGGCUAUCAGCUUAUCGGAAGGUGUUGGUGCACUCCACUUGCUCCGAAGUUACCUAUUUGGUCAGUAUGAUUUGGACAUGUAUUAAUUGGUAUGGCGGGACCCUAUCCCGACCUUUAUGAUAUUUACGUACUCUUAGAGGCUUGUAGACAGAUGUCAUGUUUAUGGAUACUUAUAUGGCCUUGUCGGCCUACGUUUUUUGUGUACAAAUGAUCAUAUCGGCCUUAUAGGCCCGUAUGUCACAUGUAUAAAAUUCUAUAACAUGUUGGGUCAUCCUAUGUCUAGUAUUCCCUUAUGUUUUAUUCUGGUUAUCUCAUGACGUCACUUCUGACCCAUUUACCCAUGAUGGUAUGAUGAGGAGAUAUGUUACAUUGGUGCUCGGUUAGGUAAGGCACUGGGUGCCCGUCGCGGCCUAUCGAUUUGGGUCGUGACAGUUCAGAGAUCCAACCCUAUUAUAAGUAAGUCUUAAUUUAUAUUAAAGACGAUUAUCACAAGAUCAAGGUUAUUUUAACUAAUGAAAGUUGUAAUUUUGUCGGGCGGUUACUUUAUAGGUGUAAAUGUGCCUGAUGCUAUUUAUCCAUGAUUUUCAGAGUGGUUUAAGGAGUUUCUAAGUUUUAUU